rnacentral:rRNA from 1 species
AUUGAACGCUGGCGGCAUGCUUUACACAUGCAAGUCGAACGGUAACAGGCCUUCGGGUGCUGACGAGUGGCGAACGGGUGAGUAAUGCAUCGGAACGUGCCCAGAGGUGGGGGAUAACGCAGCGAAAGCUGUGCUAAUACCGCAUGUGAUCUGAGGAUGAAAGCGGGGGACCAGGCAGCAAUGUUUGGCCUCGCGCCUUUGGAGCGGCCGAUGUCAGAUUAGGUAGUUGGUGGGGUAAAGGCCUACCAAGCCGACGAUCUGUAGCUGGUCUGAGAGGACGACCAGCCACACUGGGACUGAGACACGGCCCAGACUCCUACGGGAGGCAGCAGUGGGGAAUUUUGGACAAUGGGGGCAAGCCUGAUCCAGCAAUGCCGCGUGCGGGAAGAAGGCCUUCGGGUUGUAAACCGCUUUUGUACGGAGCGAACAGGCUCUGGCUAAUACCUGGGGCUGAUGACGGUACCGUAAGAAUAAGCACCGGCUAACUACGUG